CCCGGGAGUUCUGGGCAGGCUUCUGUGGGCUCACGGCCUUCUGCCCCAUAAGCAGUGGGAAAGGCUGCAGCCUGCUGGGCUCCAGCAUCUUCAGCAUUUUAUGGACAUGAGGACAUCUCAUGUGCCUGCUUUUGCAAGGAAGACGUCUUUCCAUUAAGCCCAGCAGGAUCAAGGAUCAAUCAAUCAAAAGAUGACAUGCUGAAGGUCAGAUUCCUAAUUCCUGCAUCCAAAAGAAUACCCAUACCUGCAGCUGUUGACACCAGAUUUUGCUGGCCCACUUGAGCCAGACAACUCCUUCAGAAAUGCUAGCCCGCCUCGGUUUUAGGAGUGACAAAGAAAGGCUGCUGCAGGCCUGCCAGAAUCUGUAUGAAUU